rnacentral:rRNA from 1 species
CAGCAGCCACGGGAAUACGGAGGGUGCAAGCGUUAAUCGGAAUUACUGGGCGUAAAGCGCACGCAGGCGGUCUGUCAAGUCGGAUGUGAAAUCCCCGGGCUCAACCUGGGAACUGCAUUCGAAACUGGCAGGCUAGAGUCUUGUAGAGGGGGGUAGAAUUCCAGGUGUAGCGGUGAAAUGCGUAGAGAUCUGGAGGAAUACCGGUGGCGAAGGCGGCCCCCUGGACAAAGACUGACGCUCAGGUGCGAAAGCGUGGGGAGCAAACAGGAUUAGAUACCCGCGUAGUCCCUGUCUCUUAUAC